GCUUAGCCCAGCAGGGAAGAAACACAACGUCUGAAAGCACCAAAGUUUUUCAUCUUAAAAUUUUUACUACACGGGAAGGACGGACUCAUGCUUUCUCUCUGGUGCGGGCAAGAUACUGUGCAGAGCUUGAAUGCUUGUCCCAAAUCAAAUAGUAGGAAAGGCAGUAGUAAGCAAACUUGGGUGGUCUCCUAAACAUGUCUACAGCUUCCUUGCAUCCUGUGUUUGCUCUGGGUGAUGGUCCCCAUACCCAACUCCAUCAUUCAACAUUCUGCUCCGCCUUCAAGUUAGAAGUUUCCAGAUUACCUCUCCCAAGUGACUUGACUUCUUUGGAGGAAAUCUAUGCAAAGAUAAACAGAACAGAUGAAGAAGGUGGGAGAACCAUGAUGGAGAGGUUUACAAGCUGAUUUGUUAAAAUGAUCUUUUUUGAUUGGAGAUGAACUGUGGAUAAACGAACACUGUCUGUGAGGGACUUUUCUUUUUUUCUUUUUGCACUUUCUAAUCCCCUCAGAGAUAAGAGGACAUCUAGAGGUCUUUCUCUUCAGAUUCUAACGAGGCUAAGGCAGAGAACGAUUGAAGAAGCUUAUAUAAGCAUUACUCUUAUUAUGGAUUGAAUUCUGACUCCUCAAAUUCGUAUGUUAAUGUUCUAACCCCCAAUGUGACUGCAUUUGCAAAUAGGACUUUAAUGAGAAAAUUAAUGUUAAAUG